rnacentral:pre_miRNA from 1 species
UUGUUACUCCCUCCGUCUGGAAUUACUUGUCGCACAAAUGUAUAAAAAUGGAUGUAUCUAGAAUUAAAAUACAUCUAGAUACAUCCAUUCCUAUGACAAGUANUUCCGGACGGAGGGAGUAUGUU